UACGUAGGGGGCGAGCGUUGUCCGGAAUCAUUGGGCGUAAAGAGCUCGUAGGCGGUUCAGUAAGUCAGGUGUGAAAGCUCCGAGCUCAACUCGGAGAGGCCACCUGAUACUGCUGUGACUAGAAUCCAGUAGGGGAGUGUGGGAACUCCUGGUGUAGCGGUGAAAUGCGCAGAUAUCAGGAAGAACACCAGCGGCGGAAGGCGGCACUCUGGGCUGGAAUUGACACUGAGGAGCGAAAGUGUGGGUAGCAAACAGG
rnacentral:rRNA from 1 species